AUCGCUUCUCGGCCUUUUGGCUUAGAUCAAGUGUAGUAUCAAGUGUAGUAUCUGUUCUUAUCAGUGUAGUAUCUGUUCUCUGUGUUACAGGUAUACCUUUGAAGGGAGUUCAUCUGAUCCAGACCGCCGAUCCACCUUCAAGGUAUAAGGUUAGUACACUGUUAAGUACCUUUUCGAUUUACUACAU